UCUGUUCCAGCCUACUCUCAACACAUGGAGCCAAGAAUACUUCAUAUUCCACUCCAUUAUUGCUUUUUACCACCUGAUCCCCUGAGGAAGGGGACUACAGGUAGCCUCACACUAUUACCAAGUUCAAAAGGUUGGAGGCUGAGCUCAGAAUCCAUUAGAAAUCCAUUGCUAGUCUAACAAAACAAGGUGCUUACCUUAGGAGUAACAUGAGAGUCAUUAACAAGAACAAAAGGUGUUUAAUCAGGAGGUUGUAUCUGUUUAUUUAUCUUACCCUAAUUCAGGUAACCAGGGACAUUCAGGAAAGAAUUAAUAUAUCUUGCUCGACUAAGAGCACUGACUUCUGUCUCUUACCCUGAGCACCAUCACUUACAUCAGCCUCUCCCUAACUUAAAUCCAUGACUGCCACAAAGAUUAUGCCCACAAGAAAAAAGCCCAUGCUUCAAAACACCUUCCUCUCAUUUUAAGAAUGAUGUGAGAAUGAAGAUAUCUGAAUAAAUAAGUGGUUGAUAUGGUCUGUAACAGGAACAAAAUAGUUAUUCAGCUUCAUAAACACAUAAUAUUGUCUACCAUCUCUACCAGUAUUUUGGCCCAAGUGAUAGUUAUCGAAUGUCUGAUAUGCAAGAAGCAUCCUAUAAUAAAAAUUUGAAACUAGUAAUUAAGAGAGACAUUUAAAAUUAAUACCCCUUGAUCAUGCCUCCCCUGUUAUCAGUAACACUGCUCUGCCCAGGAUGGCAUACCAAGAACUGCAUAGAAUUUCUUCAUAGAAUAUUUAAUGGACUGACUGAUAGGCAAACAAUCAGAAAAAAAUUGUUUGUGGAGAGUAUCCCUACCCCCCUCUAAUGGCAUUUCCCAAUUUGAUUCAUCUGCAUUACAUUUCCUAUAGCUUCUACUCAAAGCACAAAGACUACCAGGCUGGGCUGCAGAGACAACAAUGGGGAGCACCUCUGCAUACAAACAGGAACACCUGCAAAGAACAGAGAAAUUAAACAGCAUAAAUUAUUUCCAUACAGGUUUUUCCAAAGAUGAUGAGGUGCAAUUUCUCAUUAACUGAGGUCUCCCUCCUGAGAAUUCAAAUUUCUUUUCUACUGAAAAUGCCCCAUUUCCCCCUGGUCCAUCCUGACCCACUUAGACAAAAGCCAAUAUUCAGCCUGGACACGCAAACUAUGCUUGAGAUCCCCCAUUUUUCUCUAGCCCUGUAAAUGGAAAUCUGAUAAUAAGAUCUCCAGACCCCAGCUACGCACAGCCAGGGGAGAAUUAUAGCACUAUCUUCUCUCUCUCAAAUCUCCCUAGCCAUAAAAAAACCAGUUCAAAUCAAGAACUAAAUGAGUAUUAGCAGCUCCCUCACCAAUGUGGGAGAGAGGAAAAACCAAGGAUGCUUAAUGAACCAUAGUAUUUUUUUCAGAUUUCAAAAUACUGCCAUUUAAAGAGAUGUGAGAUUUGAAGCCCUAAUUAAGUAAUAUGCAUACAUUUAAAGCAAAUGUUCACAGAGUCCACAUCUCCAAACCACAGCCUGUGAUUUGGCUAAUGCAAUGCUCCACUCCCAGAAGUAAGUCUAGCAGAAGACAACCUCCACACUUGGCUAACCCACUCGCAACACUAAACCUCAAAGUUUCUUUUGAAGAAAAUCCUCCUGCCCACUUUCUUUCCUUUCUCACCUCCAUUCCCUCCCUGUAAUUCAGGAAAGAUUGUGUUUUUGCUUUUGUUCUUUUUUUUUUUUUUAAAUAGAAUGACUACUCCAAAUGAACAUGGUUGCUACAAGGCCACCUCUUACAGCUUUUCAUUGCAAAACAGCGUUGUUCACCAGAGGUUCAUUUCACUCAUGCCACUCUCAUUACAGGUCUAAUGAAAAUUUAAUAGUUCUGCCAUCUCAUUUUCAGCCAGUAAAACUAGGAAAACACAAGGAAGUUUCUUUACAGUAGUUUUUAAGGCAAAAGUGGGAGAACUCAGGCAGCCUUAGGACCUGCAUACAUGUGCAAAGAGCAAUACUGCCCUUUGAUUUCAGGAUACAAAGACUCUAAACAGGGGAUGGGAGAACAACCAGUUAAAUGGAUUAGAUUCUGAAAAGACACAAAUUACUGAAACACUCAUGAGGAUGGGGAAGGAGAGAAACCAGUCAACUCUGGAUUUUCACUGCAUUUAUUUCACAGGAAAGAACCUUGUUCUUAGUUGUUCAUUUGUUGGGAGUUUUUUUUAAAAUCGAAUCUUUCAAUAAAAGAAUGAGAGUGAAUUAUGGGAGUGAGGGGCCUGUUGCUGUCAACUUUAACUGCCCUAAAAAAUUUCGUUUGUUGCUCUUGGUUUACACCUUUACAUUUUUUGAUCCUAAAAAUUCCAUCUUGUCCCCCAGCUGCACAUGCAGGAUUACUUGGAGGAGUGACCUGAGCUGGUUUCACCAUGUUUCACCAGUGCUCCAGGGGAGUGGAAGACACAAACACUGAAGGCAGACACAAUGUUUUACACAACAGAAUGUUGCUAAAAUUAGAACCAAUGAAAACAGAGUUGAUUUUUUGUGACAGACUUUGCAAAUCAUUUUGAGAACUCCUUUACGAAGAAACAUAUUGGAGAUUUAAAGCCAUCUAGGCAGCUCGUCACACCCUCUACAAUGUGAAGAGAGAUUAUUAUUAAGAGGCAUCAAACUACAGAAGACAUAAUUUGGUUUUACAAAUUAAGAUUCUCUGUGACAGCCAACAUUUGUUGAUGAGAUUUCCAAAGCCAACUAGACUAUGCAGCACAACAACAAACAACAACCAAAAAAAAAAAAAAAAAAAAGUGCUGCAUUGUGGAAAACCCAAGGUGUUUUCCAAGCAACGACAUAGCAACUUUUGUUUGCCUAUGCUCAGAAUAGACUGAACCAGGUUGACUUUCCUCAAAAUAGCUGAGAUAUCCUUGAAAGGCCUCUGGAUUUUUACAGUGCAGGUAACAGCAUCUCCAUGCAUCUUCAUGACUCAUGGUGACACAUAUUUUAACUUACACAGGCUUAAGAGACCUGACAUUAAACUAUUUUUGGCUCACUUUUGGGCUACUUUCUUAUUCACCCACACAGACGAAUAAUGUGAAUGAAAGUGCGUCUUUUCUUUUUUUUGGAUAUGACCUCAACUCCCUGAGCCCAGGUUAGUGCUAUUGUAAGCACAGCAUCAUUUAAUGAUGUUCACACAUUUUUCUAUCUUAAAAGCAGGUGCUUUUUUUGGCAGCAUCAGAACUAGAACAAACUCUUCCAGAUCCUCGUACCUGUGGACACUUCAAUUUUCCAGCCUAAAUGAUUUAUGACCAUAUUACAUCCAUCUACUCUUGAGCUAAUUUCUCCUCACUUGCUCUUACCAUGAGAUGUAUUUAUAGACACUGAUCAUAUCCCUCUUAGCCUUUGUUUCUGCUGGAUUAAAAGACCAAACUUUUUUAGUUUCCUUCUGCAAAAUCAGCACACCCUUUCUCCCAGCACCCAGCCAGCUCCCCUCUGUGCCUGUUUGAUCAGGGACCAUCCUUCCCAGCUUCUCUCCUCUUCAGCACCAGAGCCCGGCAGGGGGACAGGAAGGUUCUGCUCCUGCACUGGCAUCCUUCUCCCUGCUCCUUCCAAGGAGCUGCUCUUAUUAACGUGAGCAGCAGCAAACAGCCAAGCCUGUAACCCUCACCUUUCACACCACUGGAUUUCACACCACUUCAACUAUGCCCGUGCUCAACAUCUCCCAGCUCUCCAUGAAAUGUCCCUGUCUCCCUGGACCAACAACAUUUAUCACUUGCAUUGUCCUCUCAGCACAGUGACUUCUCCUUCCAGCAUGGCCCACCAUAACUCCCAUUCUCUUCAGUUCCCAAUCCCUGUAAUUAACAGUAACAGAAAAAUAGACAAACUGUGUCAGAUCAAAGGUCCCUCCUGCCCAGUAACCUGUCACUGCCAGGGGACAACAGGAUACAUGUAACAGCCAGGAAAGCACACAGAAACUAUAUUGACAGGUGUUGCUAUUUCAUAUUUACAUGUGUUGCUUAAUUUUUCUGUUAUGAAUUUGUGCAAAUAGUUUUCAAAUCCAGUUAAACUUUUUGAUAUAUAGAACAUUUGAUGUAAGUAAAUACAAAUAUUUAAUUAGCACUGACUUGCAGUGUCAAGUUAAACCUUUGAUGUUACUUCAGAUGUUUAAUGACUACGGUGCAGUUUUAGUCCAUUGAAAGCUUUUUAAAGAGAACACUCUAGUAGCUGUCUAAUCAACAGAAGACCACUACAUUAGUCUAGAAUGGCCUGCAUUUGGUGAUAUCAUGUAAUAUAUAUUUUUUUUUUUUCAUAUUUGCUUUAGUAACUUUGUACAUAUUGAGAGUUGUACUAAAGGAGGAGACAUGCAUGGGAGGAUGAGGAGCAAAUGAUGUCCAUCAUUUUUAUGGGUAUUUCCCCUCUCACAUAUCACCCUGAUCAGGUAGGUCUAUAAAUACCAGGAAAGGCCUGGAUUUAAUAUGCCUUGAUGCUGCACUCCAGCACAGACACUGGCUCAGGCCAGGAGGGUCAGCUAAGUCAGCUCCACCUCCACCUCGCCAACACUGAAGGUUGCUUUUAAACCACACUCCCCUGUCACCCACCUGGCCACUGCUCUUCUAUCUCCCUCACUGAAAUCUAACUCAAACCAAAUAUUCAAUCCUGGAACCAUGUUUAUACUUUUCUGUCCUACCAACUUGUAUGUACACGCAAAAGAACCUUUCACUUCACACGCUUUGCAAUUUGCAACCAAGCUUGAACAGUUGGCAAAUCCUCCCUGUUCCUACAUUUCCUGACAUAUCAGGAUUUUUCCAUCCCCUGAAGACUUUUUGCUCAUUCCUAAAAGCCUUCUUGAAGCAGCGAUUUAUCCAAAUAAACACUGAGCUCUUCCUAUAUAAUAUUCUCUUAUUUCUUGCUCGGAAUAUUGAUUUUGUUUAGGCAGGAGAACCUUGGCUUUCCAUCAGGCUGCAGGAUAACACCCUGGAGCUCCCCUGCCCAGGGACUCCCCUACAUGUUGCAUUUUCCAAGGGGAGAGCUGGAGCUGUCCUGGUUACUGAAGUGGCAGCAACUCUCAGGCACCUCCAGGAAAGACUUGGCAACAGCACCCCUGUGCCCUGCUAAGCACUUUCCCCUUCUGGUAUGCCAAGGUUUGUUACACAGGCUGACCAUCCAUCCCACGAACCACAGCUACUCCGCUUGUUUUGGUCAUUCUUCCAUGUAUUUAAAACUGAUUUUUAAAAGCAUUAGCCUUGGUUGUGUGUUCAACAAGCUCACUCACCAAACCCAAGACAGUAUCACCUAUAAUCACCUAUUACUGGCUGUCCUUUUCUUUUUCCUCCUAAACCAAAUAAUGAUGCAGUUGUUGUACCUAUGACUGUCUAAGCCCUUCUGAUUAGCAACAAUUCUUCUGCAAGCAGGUCUGAUUAUCUAGAGAGUGCCAUAACAAUAAACCCAACUGGAAUAUGUAUCCUUUUAACAUGAGAAACCUUCUUCAUAGGCAAAUUCAACCCAUGAAUCCUUAGCAAGAUUCUCAGUGCUACCCUCAUAGAACUUUCCAUAAUAAAUGUAACUUUGAUUAAUCUGAAAUUGGAUGAAGCAUAAAGUGCUGCAUCUAGCUUUUCCUGUUUCCCAGCUGAAAGAGAAACUUACCUUCACCCAUGAGAAACCAAAACCUGCUAGACUAUUUCAAAUUUCAUUAUAUGCCACUGAGUUGAAAGCUUGCUUUGCCCCUUAUGAUUUUGACAACAGCUCUACCUAAACUGUGAGCAUUCAAAUGACUUCAAAUAAAGACUUAAAACAGAGGAGGGCAGAAGAGAUUCAACAUGUUCCAGGGCAAAUAAUUUUUUCCAGUAUAUUAUCACAUGAACAUUAAGAAAAAACCCCAACACCAUCAAAAGAACAGAUGAGGCAGCACUUAUCUGAAGAUUAUUACUCCUCGAGAUUCAGGUCAGAUUUACAUCUUGCUUCUAUCAAGCGUUUUGUUUUGGUUUUUUCCUCAUGUCUUCUACUUGCAUACUUGCCCAUGAGGUGCAAAAGGUUAAAAUUUACAGUGAUUUUUAAUACACCAACUUUUAAAUAAUGACAGAUGUAGUCAGAAGCUUUGCACUUCUGUUUUUAUUGUCCAGCCUGCAACAGAGAUGGAACCAUGUCCCAGUGCCACCACUGAAAGCACAGAACACCUUUCAAGAGGCUUUCAUGACUCAGUUUCUUUAUUCUUCCCCAAUUUUGUAUGGUUGGAAUGACCACAGCCAAAGCAGAGCAGCACUAAAUUGCCUUCCUCAACAGACCCAACUGGGUUCCUAUGUUUCACCAUCAUCCCUAAACUACUUUAAAAUAAAAUUAAAAUACAACAAUAAAUCAAAUCUAGCAAGUUUCCCGUUACCAGAAAAGCGCUAUCUAACCUUGCCCCCACCUCCUACCUCCCACUGAUAUUAAAGAGGUAUACAAAAAAGUCCUACCCAGCAGGAUGGGAAUACGACUUCAAAAAAAUUCACUAACUAAAAUUUAAUUUUAGAUCUACAAGUGCUGCCAAGCACCACUUUAUUUGUCAACAAAACAUUUUGAUUAUUUGGCAGAACAAAGCAAGCUCCCUCCCUGCUUGUUCUACAGACAUAUUUGGCACUGGUUAAUUUGUAUGUCUUCAGACAUAUGUCAAGUCUGAAGCUGUUUCAGGCUUUAACCCUGCAGAACUUCUCUGUUUUAAGUACUUGUUUUUCUUUAAGUGGGAACAGCAGCAAGCUAAAGCCAAGAAGGGGUUUGGUCCUGCAAUGAAAUGGUUAAAAAUCAGACUCUGCUGAUGUGUGCUUCUCUGAUCCAUUACAUUUCUCGCAAGCUGAGCUAAGAGCUGAGCACCAAGUAUCAACUGUAAUAUGAUCCAAGAGUUUAUGGAAAAAAUAACUGCACAUACCAAGCAUGCACAUUUAAUAAGAUUUUGUUUCCAUUAAAAUAUUCAAGAAACACGAUUUUAAAGAUCUGCUUCUCUCUCUGACCGAUUUUUAACGUUUCUCCUCCCCCUCCCCUAAAUACACACCUCCUUUCCAAAAACCAAACCCUUAAAAAAAAAAAAAAAAGGGAAGAAAGAAAAAAGCAGUCCUACUGCAGGGAAGAGAGGCUUGAAAAACAACUUUGAUUGGCACUUGGCCUGACCCACAGAGGAAGAAAAACAGUUUUCGGACAAAGAGCGCAAAUAUUUGAGCUCAUUGACUUACGGCUUUCUUAGCAUUUGCAAGAACCAACCUGGAGCAAAAUGUGUUGGGAGAGAUUGAAUUAAAAUAAAACCAAAAUCGGCAUCGCGUUCAUCUCGGGCGCUCGGAGACUCGGCGCAUUUGAACAGCUCAGCAAUUUUAAUUCAUUUGCGCUGGACAAACAAAAAGCACCUCCACCGAUGCUCCCCGAGAGGCAGAUGCGGGCACCGGAGGUGCAGCCGCCGCACCCCGGGGGAUCGGGGAGGAGGCCGGGGCUGCUCCGGGGCUGCGCUCUGCGGGCCGGGCCGGGGGCUGCCCAUUCCUACUGCUUUCCUUACAUUUUUAAAGCUCCGAUCCCAAAUCUCCCUCGCACAAAGACCUGACGGAGAUCGCGGGGGCUCAAGGUGUAAUAUGUAAGUGGAUAAGAUCUGAGGAAGGUCUCAUCUCCUCUCUUGCUUCACAAAUCUGCCUGAAGGCUGGACUUUACCACAGGUUCCAGGACCCUACAGCAAGUAAUUUCACCUCUCACCUUGGGAGGGGCGAUUCCAGAAACCCACUUUGGCAUUUUAUUCAUGCAAAUGAACAAAUGGGAGGCAUCUUGCUGUGGACUGGAGCUCUGCCCCUGGGCAUCCCACCUCUCCCCAGUGCAUUGCACUGUGCUCAGCCCUUGGGGGUGGUGAUUCCCUCCCCAGAACCUCUCCAAAAGGUCCGUGUGUGAGGUGGCUUUUGGGUACUGUCACCUUGCUGGCAUGGCGUACGUGACCCUCCAAGGGCCCCAGAACUGACCCCAGCUGCGUGGUGGUCACUCCUUGUCACCCACCCUGGGCCAUCUGCAUCACCUGCUGGCAACCAGGGUUCUAGGAGGAGAAUUAAAUAAAGAUGCACAUUGUUAUGGGCAGAAUAAUGACCCAUUAUCCCCAUGUUAGCAGCAGGCUAGUAGGACACCACACUCCAUAAGAAGCUAGCCAUGGAAUCAACAACAAUAAGAUGGAAAUUCUAUGUUUCCUCCUUGCCAGCCCCUUUUCUUACAGCCUGGAGGGCUGCCCUGAGCAGCACAUAGGGAGCAGGCAGAUUUUGGCUCAGCAGUGCUGUUUGGAGGAGGGGAGGAGUGCUGGGCCGCCAGCAUCGUGUGCGGCAGAGUGCGGAGAAACGUGGGGCUGGCCUGAUGGAAAGGGUGAAAAUCCCCACUGACAGCCCCACAGCCUUUGAAGGGCAGCAUCCUCCUUUGUAAACAGAAUAUGCAGAUAUAUUAUGUAACUCCUGGUAAAUUAACUGCUUUUCCAUACUCUUAAAACACAGUAAUUAAAUGUUUGCUUGUCUAGUGCCUUUGCAACAGCAACAGUUUGACUCUCCACUGCUUUUACUGUUGUGGCUGUGUCAUUUGUGCUCUUUCUGUGCUACUGCCAUUCUGCUAACACCAAAUGUUAAAAAUAACCCCAUCUCACCUCUGCAUAUAUUCUCAAGUAUGAAUAACUAGUGUAUGCAUUUUCAAGCUUGACUGAAAAUCUACUUUUCUUUUAAAUGAAAAAUUAAUUUAGUGCAACAUCCCAAGAAAGGAUAUUUCAUUACAGCCUCCAAACAUGCAGACCUUCAGUAAAUCCCCAAGAACUGGUAACACUGGCAGUGCCAAGAGGCACAAAUCAGGCUGACAGCUCUGGUUUACUAUGCAUUGUACAAACACAAUGAAACUCAUCUGCCCAGCUCACAAGCUGUAGAGAUAAAUGCAGAAAGGUUGGAAUGGAAAAGGAAGCAUGAGAAGAUGAAGUGACUGGCACAGGUCACAGCACAGGUCAUGGGCACAGCUGAGAACUGAACUUUUGAAUCUGUCUUUCUAAAGUGGUGCACUCUAGAAACAACUUGAUUUGACUGUACUCUUACUUAGGUUGUACUGGGAGCUCUCUCCCACCAGCAGACAAAUCAAUUGCCAGCAUAGACUCUUUUUUAGUUGAGGGUAUCACACAGGAUAUACCAGUGAUAAUGCAAAAUCAGCACCUAAAGGGAUGGUAUCAACAAGUGAAAUGGAGAUUUUGAACAGCAGUACUUUUGUAACAACCACUGCUAUGAGAAGCCCUUCUUGUUCAUGUUUCUGCUUAGUUAUUGCAAAUAAAGCAGGUCCUUGGAUGUAAACCUUAUUUGGAAAAUC